AAAAGCUCAAAGCUUCAUUCUGGAGCACUUGGGAUGGACAGAGAUGGAGGAAAGGCUCAAUGCUUCAUCCUCCAGAGCAUCCAGGAUAGAGACAUGUGGAGAAAAGGCUCAAGGCUUUGUCAGGCAGAGCUCAACAGUGGCUGGGAUUGCUGCUGCAGUGGACUCACAGGCCUGCUGUUGGCCCCUUCACAGAGGCUCAUCCCAAGCUCCACAUCCCACUUUGGAUCCAGCACAGCUGAAGGAGAGGGGAGCUGCAGGCUGAGCUCAGGAGAGCUGGGAAGGGCAGAGGGGCAGGGCUCUCCUGGCUGCCCUUCCAUCAGCUGCCAUUCCUUGGGAUGCUGUUGGGGCCAUCCUGGUUCAGGAUCAUCUGUCC